rnacentral:rRNA from 1 species
AAAGGGUGCGUAGGUGGUUUUGUAAGUUAGAUGUGAAAUUCCUGGGCUUAACCUGGGGACUGCGUCUGAUACUGCGAAGCUAGAGUACUGUAGAGGGAAGUGGAAUUUCCGGUGUAGCAGUGAAAUGCGUAGAUAUCGGAAGGAACAUCAGUGGCGAAGGCGACUUCCUGGACAGAUACUGACACUGAGGCACGAAAGCGUGGGGAGCAAACAGGAUUAGAUACCCCUGU